rnacentral:rRNA from 1 species
GAUGAACGCUGGCGGCGUGCUUAACACAUGCAAGUCGAACGGUGAAGCCAAGCUUGCUUGGUGGAUCAGUGGCGAACGGGUGAGUAACACGUGAGCAACCUGCCCUGGACUCUGGGAUAAGCGCUGGAAACGGCGUCUAAUACUGGAUAUGAGCCUCUUCCGCAUGGUGGGGGUUGGAAAGAUUUUUUGGUCUGGGAUGGGCUCGCGGCCUAUCAGCUUGUUGGUGAGGUAAUGGCUCACCAAGGCGUCGACGGGUAGCCGGCCUGAGAGGGUGACCGGCCACACGGGGACUGAGACACGGCCCAGUCUCCUACGGGAGGCAGCAGUGGGGAAUAUUGCACAAUGGGCGAAAGCCUGAUGCAGCAACGCCGCGUGAGGGAUGACGGCCUUCGGGUUGUAAACCUCUUUUAGCAGGGAAGAAGCGAAAGUGACGGUACCUGAAGAAAAAGCGCCGGCUAACUACGUG